AGAGUUUGAUCCUGGCUCAGGAUGAACGCUAGCGGCAGGCCUAAUACAUGCAAGUCGAACGGUAAAUAUUUAGCAAUAAAUAUGAGAGUGACGUACGGGUGCGUAACACGUAUGCAACCUACCCUUUACAGGCGGAUAGCUCGGGGAAACUCGAAUUAACCCGCCGUAAUAUAAUUGGAUGGCAUCAUCUGGUUAUUAAAUCUACGGAGGUAAAGGAUGGGCAUGCGUCUGAUUAGUUAGUUGGCGGGGUAACGGCCCACCAAGACGAUGAUCAGUAGGGGAACUGAGAGGUUGAUCCCCCACACUGGCACUGAGAUACGGGCCAGACUCCUACGGGAGGCAGCAGUAGGGAAUAUUGGUCAAUGGAUGGAAGUCUGAACCAGCCAUGCCGCGUGCAGGAAGAAGGCCUUCUGGGUUGUAAACUGCUUUUGCCAGGGGAUAAAAUGACCUUGCGAGGUUAAUUGAAGGUACCUGGUGAAUAAGCCACGGCUAACUACGUGCCAGCAGCCGCGGUAAUACGUAGGUGGCAAGCGUUGUCCGGAUUUAUUGGGUUUAAAGGGUGCGUAGGCGGCUUAUUAAGUCAGUGGUGAAAUACUCUAGCUCAACUAGAGGGGUGCCAUUGAUACUGAUGAGCUUGAAUACAGAUGAGGUAGGCGGAAUUGACGGUGUAGCGGUGAAAUGCUUAGAUAUCGUCAAGAACACCUAUAGCGAAGGCAGCUUACUAGGCUGUAACUGACGCUGAGGCACGAAAGUGUGGGGAUCAAACAGGAUUAGAUACCCUGGUAGUCCACACUGUAAACGUUGAUUACUCGCUGUGUGCGAUAUACAGUACGCGGCCAAGCGAAAGCGAUAAGUAAUCCACCUGGGGAGUACGCCGGCAACGGUGUAACUCAAAGGAAUUGACGGGGGUCCGCACAAGCGGUGGAGCAUGUUUAAUUCGAUGAUACGCGAGGAACCUUACCUGGACUAGAAUGCCCUUGACCGAUCCAGAGAUGGAUUUUUCCGCAAGGACAAGGAGCAAGGUGCUGCAUGGCCGUCGUCAGCUCGUGCCGUGAGGUGUUGGGUUAAGUCCCGCAACGAGCGCAACCCCUAUUUUUAGUUGCCAACAGGUUAAGCUGGGGACUCUAAAAAGACUGCCCGCGCAAGCGGAGAGGAAGGAGGGGACACGUCAGGUCAUCAUGGCCCUUACGUCCAGGGCUACACACGUGCUACAAUGGCGUAUACAGAGUGUUGCAAACCAGCGAUGGUAAGCCAAUCACAAAAAGUACGUCUCAGUUCGGAUUGCAGGCUGCAACUCGCCUGCAUGAAGUUGGAAUCGCUAGUAAUCGCGCAUCAGCAAUGGCGCGGUGAAUACGUUCCCGGACCUUGUACACACCGCCCGUCAAGCCAUGAGAGUCGGGAGGACCUGAAGGCAGUUGCUGUAAGGCGCUGUUUAGGGUUAAACCGAUGAUUAGGGCUAAGUCGAAACAAGGUA
rnacentral:rRNA from 1 species